AAUUCCAUUUCAACCAGGGAAUUGUUUUUACCUUUGUCUAUAUUUCAUUUCCUUUUUCCAAGGCGACUUGUGUAGUGUUUCAUUCCCCCUUGCCACCUGGGCUCAAUUCUGUAAUUACUCCCCUGUGAUACUAGUAACAUUCCCGUAGUGAAUUUAAGCCACGAAAUAGUUUCUGCUGUGUAAAUUUCCCAGUCAUUUCAUUCUCCCAUGAGUGGCCUUUUGAUUGAGAGAAAGUAGUAAGUAAAGUUCGCCCUCGUGUGCCCCCUGUCUUACGCCUAUGUCCUCUAUUUGCAGACAAACGCUGUGCCUGGCUGUGGUAGGACUUGGAAAUCCUUCGAAGCUUGCAAUUUUGAUCCGUUACGCAAAGUUUCCUAAAAGCGUGGCCGGACUGCUCCCACCACGUGUUCGGGUGGACUGAAAGCAGUUCAGCUGCCCUUGUGUUCCUGGACCUCUGUAAAUUUAUGUAAAUAUAGUGCUUUUAAAACUAGAGUCCAGCUUUUAUGUAGAUUCCUCCCUCCUCAGUAAAAACGGCCUUAUGCUUGAGAAGUUUUAGUUUUUCAACUUUUUUUUCUUUGUUCAAACCCCUCGUCAUUUAGUCAAGGCCUAAAUUUUCAAUGUAAUUGUAUUUUCUGGGAGGAGACGAGGUGGAAUUUUGAAUAUUUGCGACCUAAAAGCACGAUUUCGUAGUAGCGAUUGUUAAGCUAAAAUCACGAAAGAAACGAAUCUGAAUUCCUUAAUAUUUUUAUGAGCAAGCUAAAGCAAGGUUUCUAAAUUCUCCACAACAGGAAUAAGGAACUGUAGGAGGAGCUUACCAGGAGAAAGCUUCAAAAGGCCUUGAACCCAGGAGAGGAGCUCUCAGAAGAAGACCAGACCACGGCAAGGUCAGACACCUGGCUCCUUACCAGACGCCGCUCCCCCCCUCCUGGGCCUAGAUUUCCCAUGCUUUGGGAAGCCCAAGUAUAUUUUAAAAGUCCAUAGUGUCGAGACUUCAAGGAGAAGACAACCAGCAUCAUCACUAAGACAAAAGCUGUGCCUGGCUGGGGUAGGACUUGGAAAUCCUUCGAAGCUUGCAAUUUUGAUCCGUUGAGCAAAGUUUCCUAAAAGCGUGGCCGGACUGCUCCCACCACAUGUUCGGGUGAACUGAAAGCAGUUCAGUUGCCCUUGUGUUCCUGGACCUCUGUAAAUUUAUGUAAAUAUAGUGCUUUUAAAACUAGA